GCUCCGGUGGCCUAGUGGUUAGUGCGUCCACAUCAGAUGCGGGAUGUCCUGGGUUCGAUCCUUGGUCGAGUCA